CGUCCGCCCGCCCACCCUCGGGAACUCUCCCAGCAAAGAGGCUGCAGCGUUUCCAUCCCCAGCCAUGCUCCUGCUGCUCGCCUCAGUGCUGGGGCUUCACUUGGCCCUGAGAGACGCUGGAGCCCAGACAGUGACCCAGCCCGACGCCCACGUCUCUGUGUCUGAAGGAGAAGCUGUGGAGCUGAGGUGCAACUACUCCUACGGGGGAGUCGCUUAUCUGUCCUGGUACUUCCAGCUCCGCGGUCAAGGUCCUCAACUUGUACUCCUCAAGUACGUUUCUCAGGACGGCGUGAUUCAGGGCCUCCACGGUUUUGAGGCUGAGUUUAAGAGGAGCGAUUCUUCCUUCCACCUGAGGAAGCCCUCUGUGCACCUGAGCGAUGCUGCUUGGUACUGGUGUGCUGUGAGUGCCACAGCGCCUGGGGCUGCAGGGGGAGCAGUGCACAAACCACCCCUGAGUGCAGAGCUCAGAAACUCAGGAGCUCUUCGUGUGGGUUGAAGGAAAGAUUUCAGUUUACAUGAUGGCAGAUGAGACAGAGAGGGCUGGGCCUUACUUCUGUGCAAUUCCACUUCUGCUGUGCCCUGGGUCUCAAACACUUGGCACUCAUUUGCACAAU